rnacentral:rRNA from 1 species
UACGUAGGCAGCGAGCGUUGUUCGGAAUUACUGGGCGUAAAGAGUGUGUAGGCGGUGCUCUAAGUUCGGUGUGAAAUCUCCUGCUCAACUGGGAGGGUGCGCCGGAAACUGGAGUGCUUGAGCGUGGGAGAGGAAAGCGGAAUUCCUGGUGUAGCGGUGAAAUGCGUAGAUAUCAGGAGGAACACCUGUGGUGUAGACGCUUUCUGGACCAUAGCUGACGCUGAGACACGAAAGCGUGGGUAGCAAACAGG